UGUGGAGCAUCUAUUGCUCAAAGAAUGUCUACUCACAGAAAAUUGCUCAUAUUUCCACCAUAAAUGUUGAUUGGGAGAACCAAUAAUGAUUAAAAUAAGUGGUGCUUCGACAGAUGUAAGUUAUUAUAUUUCUUUAGUUCAUUUGAUUAUUGGUUAGUUCUUUUUCAGUUAAAUCUUUUUGACUAGUGUGAUCCUCUAUUGCUUCUAUGAAAUCAAUAAAAUAUAUGUAGAUUUUUAAAAGAAAUCUUAUUAUCUUAAUAUAUGUAAACAUCAAAACAAUUCAUUUAUUCUUGUGAAAAUUCUCAGUUGUUGUCUUAGUUGACUAUUAAGACUCACUUUUCUUGUCUAUUAACCUAUCUUCUCGCUCAAAUCUUGUAGACUGAAAUAUUUUUUAUCAUCAUGAAAGUUCUGUUCAUAGAAGUCGAUGGAGAAUACAUUCAAUGAUUAAAACAAAUGGUGCUCUCACGGAUGUAUUUUGGUAACAUUAUAUGUAAGCUUGUUACCGCUCUAGCUCAAUUUGUACAAGGAAAGUUCUGAUGCAAUUCUAUAUUGACUAUAUUGUUUCUUGAAUGUGGUCUAAAAGCAAAGUGUAAGUGAAUAAAAAUAGUUUCACAGUUUUGUCGCUAACCAUAAAUGUUUAAUUAGUUUAUGCUUUGAACUAUUUAUACAGAAAUCUGUCUAAUCAUUGGAAUGAUGUAUAUCUUUAAUUCGA
rnacentral:lncRNA from 1 species